CACGGGGGGAGCAAGCGUUGUUCGGAAUCACUGGGCGUAAAGGGCGUGUAGGCGGUCAGGUAAGUGGGAUGUGAAAUGCCUCGGCUCACCCGAGGACCUGCAUCCCAAACUGCAAGGCUCGAGUCCGGAAGAGGGGGGCGGAAUUCCCAGUGUAGCGGUGAAAUGCGUAGAUAUUGGGAGGAACACCAGUGGCGAAGGCGGUCCCCUGGGCCGGAACUGACGCUGAGGCGCGAAAGCGUGGGUAGCAAACGGG
rnacentral:rRNA from 1 species